CACGUAGGCGGUUUUUUAAGUCUGAUGUGAAAGCCCACGGCUCAACCGUGGAGGGUCAUUGGAAACUGGAAAACUUGAGUGCAGAAGAGGAAAGUGGAAUUCCAUGUGUAGCGGUGAAAUGCGCAGAGAUAUGGAGGAACACCAGUGGCGAAGGCGACUUUCUGGUCUGUAAUUGACGCUGAUGUGCGAAAGCGUGGGGAUCAAACA
rnacentral:rRNA from 1 species